rnacentral:rRNA from 1 species
UACAGAGGGUGCAAGCGUUGUUCGGAAUUACUGGCGUAAGCGCGCGCAGGCGGGUUUGUAAGUCGGAAGUGAAAUCUCACUGCUCAACGGUGGGCUGCUUCUGAUACGUGCAAAUCUUGAGACCGGUAGAGGUUGGUAGAAUUGCAGGUGUAGCGGUGGAAUGCGUAGAGAUCUGCAAGAAUACCCGUGGCGAAGGCGGCCAACCUGG